ACAACGAAGAGUUUGAUCCUGGCUCAGGAUGAACGCUAGCGGCAGGCUUAAUACAUGCAAGUCGAGGGGCAGCGCGGCGAGUAGCAAUACUUGCUGACGGCGACCGGCGCACGGGUGCGUAACGCGUAUGCAACCUACCUACUAUUGUGGAAUAACCCGGAGAAAUUCGGACUAAUACCGCAUACAAUAUUCGGAUGGCAUCAUUUGGAUAUAAAAGAUUUAUCGAUAGUAGAUGGGCAUGCGUCCCAUUAGCUAGUUGGUGAGGCAACGGCUCACCAAGGCGACGAUGGGUAGGGGAUCUGAGAGGAUAAUCCCCCACAUUGGUACUGAGACACGGACCAAACUCCUACGGGAGGCAGCAGUAGGGAAUAUUGGGCAAUGGUCGAGAGACUGACCCAGCCAUGCCGCGUGCAGGAAGACGGCCUUAUGGGUUGUAAACUGCUUUUGUACCGGGGUAACGGCGGGCUCGUGCAGCCUGAUUGAAAGUACGGUACGAAUAAGGAUCGGCUAACUCCGUGCCAGCAGCCGCGGUAAUACGGAGGAUCCGAGCGUUAUCCGGAUUUAUUGGGUUUAAAGGGUGCGCAGGCGGAUGGGUAAGUCAGUGGUGAAAUUUUCCGGCUCAACCGGGACAUUGCCAUUGAUACUGCUUGUCUAGAUUGUAGAUGGCGUAGGCGGAAUAUGUCAAGUAGCGGUGAAAUGCGUAGAUAUGACAUAGAACACCGAUCGGGAAGCCAGCUUACGAAGCUAUGAAUGACGCUCAUGCACGAAAGCGUGGGGAUCAAACAGGAUUAGAUACCCUGGUAGUCCACGCAGUAAACGAUGAACACUCGUUGCCGGCGAUAGAUGGUCGGUGGCCAAGCGAAAGUGAUAAGUGUUCCACCUGGGGAGUACGUUCGCAAGUAUGAAACUCAAAGGAAUUGACGGG
rnacentral:rRNA from 1 species